UAGGGAAUCUUCCACAAUGGGCGCAAGCCUGAUGGAGCAACGCCGUGUGAGUGAAGAAGGUCUUCGGAUCGUAAAACUCUGUUGUUAGAGAAGAACAUGCAGGAGAGUAACUGUUCUUGUAUUGACGGUAUCUAACCAGAAAGCCACGGCUAACUACGUGCCAU
rnacentral:rRNA from 1 species